rnacentral:lncRNA from 1 species
GAAGAAGACUUGGUAGCAUUCAAAUCCCUGGUUCUGCUGACGCGGCUCGGAUCCCGCGUUGCUGUGGCUCUGGCGUAGGCUGGCAGCUACAGCUCCGAUUGGACCCCUAGCCUGGGAUCCUCCAUAUGCCGCGGGAGCGGCCCAAAGAAAUAGCAACAACAACAACAAAGACAAAAAAAAAAAAAAAAAUAGAAUCCUACAUGCCUGGGUGGGUAGAAUGGAAAGAAGAUAGACAUUAGAUCAGGCAGACCCAGAGCCUGUCUUAGCUAUACAACUUGGCCAGUUGAUCUCUCCUAGUUCCUUUCUUCCUUCCUUCCUUUCCCUUUUCCUUCCUCCCUUCCUUCCUUCCUUCUUUCUUUCUCCUGUCAGCAUGAUAUGGGAUCUUGGUUCCCAUUACCAGCGAUCAGGGGUCCAAUCUGGGCCACGGCUGUGUAGUGUCCUAACCACUAGACCACCAGGGUGUUCCCUCAGUUUCAUCUAAGUAACUCGUGGAAGAACAAUAGCAUCUGUCUCACAACGUUAUCAGAAAAAAACACUGCAAAGCCUUAAUACCAUGUUAACAUGUAGUAAAUAGGAGCUGUUAUCCCUAUAGAAGGAACUUCUGAGAGCUUUAGCACUGAGAGUUUUAGCAGUUUGCUUUCAGCUUUCAAAACACAAACACACACACAAAAUCUGCAUAAAUGUAUCUGCAUCCUUUGUACACAUAUUACUUCCAUAAUUCCCUUUGUAGAAAUAUCCUUUUAUAGCCCUCUUAGGAUUUUGCCCUUGAGGAAGCAUACAGACAUUUCUAAACUGCUGAUUUUCCUCUUUAUCUACUGAUAAAGCUAUGUGAACUUAUUUUGUUCACCCUCUCCCAUCUUCUUUCUCCCCGCCGCCGCCCUUAACUAUCAGUGAGAAUAGAGCUAAAUUUAAUGCUCAAUUGCAUAAAACUAGGUUAAACUACUCAUGACCUCCUUAGUUACUUAACAGGUAUUGUUUUAUUCUUUAAGUGAUCAUAUUGUGUGGGUAUCUUUUAUGUAAGGAAGCAUUCUCAAAUUAUUUCUGAAAGCAGGCAGCAAGGUAUGAACAAUAAAUGUAAAUGAAAGAAUGAACAGACCCAGACUAUUUAGCACGCUCAAAUGGAGGAUGGUCAGGUCAGGAGAAUGGGGGUAGCAGCCCUUAUGUUUGACAGUUGUUGGAAGAUGUGUUCUGAGCUCCCUGAAGCCCACUCUUCAGGUAGCAGACCCGCAUGGGAGUUUCUGUUCUCACUUCUGGUCAGGUUUUGUGGGAGGAGCCUCUGUCUUUCAGACUCCAUGUUCCAUGCAGCCCAUUGCCUGCCAUCCUUGGAGAGGAACCAUGAGGUCAACAUUUCUUCAACUUGAUUCAGGGUCUUGACCAAUGAGGGCGAGACCAGACAAAGGAUGAGACUAGACCAGUGCUGGACACAUAGUAGAGUUCCCAUCAUGGCUCAGCAGAUAUGAAUCUGACUAGCAUCCGUGAGGAUGCAGUUUCGAUCCCUGGCCUCGCUCAGUGGAUUAAGGAUUUGGAAUUGCCAUGAACGAUGUUAUAGGUCUCAGAAGCAGCUUGGAUCUGGCGUUGCUGUGGCCAUAGUGUAGGCCAGAGGCCGAAGCUCUGAUUCAACCCCUAGCAUGGGAACCUCCAUAUGUCGAGGGU